GAUGAACGCUAGCGGGAGGCCUAACACACGCAAGCCGAGCGGUAUUGUUUCUUCGGCAAUGAGAGAGCGGCGUACGGGUGCGUAACACGUGUGCAACCUGCCUUUAUCUGGGGGAUAGCCUUUCGAAAGGAAGAUUAAUACUCCAUAAUAUAUUGAACGGCAUCGUUUAAUAUUGAAAGCUCCGGCGGAUAGAGAUGGGCACGCGCAAGAUUAGCUAGUUGGUGAGGUAACGGCUCACCAAGGCGAUGAUCUUUAGGGGGCCUGAGAGGGUGAUCCCCCACACUGGUACUGAGACACGGACCAGACUCCUACGGGAGGCAGCAGUGAGGAAUAUUGGUCAAUGGGUGCAAGCCUGAACCAGCCAUCCCGUGUGAAGGACGACUGCCCUAUGGGUUGUAAACUUCUUUUGUAUAGGGAUAAACCUACCCUCGAGAGGGUAGCUGAAGGCACUAUACGAAUAAGCACCGGCUAACUCCGUG
rnacentral:rRNA from 1 species